GAUGAACGCUGGCGGCGUGCCUAAUACAUGCAAGUCGAGCGAACGGACGAGAAGCUUGCUUCUCUGCUGUUAGCGGCGGACGGGUGAGUAACACGUGGAUAACCUACCUAUAAGACUGGGAUAACUUCGGGAAACCGUAGCUAAUACCGGAUAAUAUUUUGAACCGCAUGGUUCAAAAGUGAAAGACGGUCUUGCUGUCACUUAUAGAUGGAUCCGCGCUGCAUUAGCUAGUUGGUAAGGUAACGGCUUACCAAGGCAACGAUGCAUAGCCGACCUGAGAGGGUGAUCGGCCACACUGGAACUGAGACACGGUCCAGACUCCUACGGGAGGCAGCAGUAGGGAAUCUUCCGCAAUGGGCGAAAGCCUGACGGAGCAACGCCGCGUGAGUGAUGAAGGUCUUCGGAUCGUAAAACUCUGUUAUUAGGGAAGAACAUAUGUGUAAGAAACUGUGCACAUCUUGACGGUACCUAAUCAGAAAGCCACGGCUAACUACGUG
rnacentral:rRNA from 1 species